rnacentral:rRNA from 1 species
CCUACGGGAGGCAGCAGUGAGGAAUAUUGGUCAAUGGACGAGAGUCUGAACCAGCCAAGUCGCGUGAGGGAUGACGGUCCUAUGGAUUGUAAACCUCUUUUGUCGGGGAGCAAGGCCCGCCACGUGUGGCGGGAAGGAGAGUACCCGAAGAAAAAGCAUCGGCUAACUCCGUGCCAGCAGCCGCGGUAAUACGGAGGAUCCGAGCGUUAUCCGGAUUUAUUGGGUUUAAAGGGAGCGUAGGUGGAUUGUUAAGUCAGUUGUGAAAGUUUGCGGCUCAACCGUAAAAUUGCAGUUGAAACUGGCAGUCUUGAGUACAGUAGAGGUGGGCGGAAUUCGUGGUGUAGCGGUGAAAUGCUUAGAUAUCACGAAGAACUCCGAUUGCGAAGGCAGUUCACUGGACUGCAACUGACACUGAGGCUCGAAAGUGUGGGUAUCAAACAGGAUUAGAUACCCGAGUAGUC